AUGGGUUAAGACACUAAUGAUUGGAUAAAUGGUUCAUAUAUGAAAUUUUGCCAAAGAAGGAAGGCCUAAACUAAACUGAGAAUCUGAGAUCAGAAAUCAGAACCGCCGCGCCGCUUGUCUCUCCUUUUACUAUGCUCUAAUUCUUCUUCCCAAUUCCUUCGAGUGAAUUUUUCCUGAUGGAGGCCAAGUUCUUUCCGCUUUCUUAAGAUUGUUGGAGUUGGUUUCAAAGCAAGAGCAGAGGCCGAAGGCCGUCUCCUAUACCUAAAACUUGGCUAUAGCCAUGAGGUGGAACUGGCUGUGCCUCCUGCAGUUCGCGUAUUCUGCUUCAAAAAA